UACGAAGGGGGCGAGCGUUGUUCGGAAUUACUGGGCGUAAAGGGCGCGUAGGCGGCCCCUUUUGUCGCGUGUGAAAGCCCCGGGCUCAACCUGGGAGGUGCGCGCGAAACGGGGGGGCUUGAGUUCGGGAGAGGAGAGUGGAAUUCCCAGUGUAGAGGUGAAAUUCGUAGAUAUUGGGAAGAACACCGGUGGCGAAGGCGGCUCUCUGGACCGAGACUGACGCUGAGGCGCGAAAGCGUGGGGAGCAAACAGG
rnacentral:rRNA from 1 species